AAAAUUUAUUCACAAUUAACGCACAUUUAUAUAUUCAAUUUAAAUUAACAACAUCAUAGGAUUUGUAUCAAACCAUAAAAAAUACUUCGAAGUGUGAUUAAUUAAAAUGGAUCCUAGCAAGGGGUCAGUUGUCAUCUUACUGCUUCAAACAAAUUUGUUCUUGCUUCCUACUUUAAUAAAAGAGUCAAUUUGCGCCACUGACGAAUAAUUUGAAACAAACAGAUCAUACAGUUUAACCUGAAACAAAAUCUAUCAGGCAUUGUACAAUUCAUGGAAUACCAAAGACGCUCGUACCACAGUUUUAUGUAAUAGAAAAGUGUAUUUUAAAUAUGUACUGAUAAUCGGAUUAAAUGUCCUUUUGCAAAAUGACAAAUUACAACUGCCAAUUCAAACAGCAUACAUAAAUUCUUAAACUCAACUGAUAUUUAAAAUACGUGAAGCAUCUUCUUAUAUACAUUUUCUAUCUGCAAAUGAUCAUAAAUCAACGGAACCAUUAUUCCUCUCAAGGAUCCUUUGCUGCGUAUUUGAUGAAAAACAUAGCAUAAUCCUGGUAGCAACAGAAUCCGUUUUCCUGCUGCCCCCCGAUCAAGUUUUUGGGAAAUGAUUGGAAAUUUCUCUCGUUGGGGGAAAUUGUUCUAGAACAUUUGUGCAAAAGUGCAUAUAGCGAAGGCUGGUUUUAUCACUCUCUCUCUGCUCAAAUAGCAUCAUCAUCUCGUCACCUACUGCAUUAAAAUGCUCGAUUCUCUUUUUUACUGCCACCACAACAACAUCGCCCAGUUUGAUGAGUGCGUCCUUUUUCUGCGUUGAGAGGAAUAGUCCAACGACAAUGUUUGUCCUAGAAGACACCAAUUUUCUCGCCUUGAUUUAUUAAAGUAUGUCGUGUUCAUUGAAUAACUGAGAAAAUGAGGACAUGUCCCAGUAUGAAAAUGAACAUUAUAUUUUCUUCUUCUUUCACCGGUGGUGGCAGUGGGUGGCUUGGCUUUUCUCCUCUUCCAGUUUCAUCCAGUUUUAGGAGAGAUCGAUGUUGAUGCUUUGAACAAAGUGCAUAAAUACCCUCGCCCGGAUCCUUCUUCUUCGCAGUUUUGUUUCCAAACAAGUUGACGUGUCAAAAAAAACGAUAUCAAAACCAGAAUUCAACAGCAGUAUUACCGGAAAUACAGACUUUAAUACUUACAUAUAAUCCUCCAUAAUUAAAUAAACUCACCGUCAUCAUGGCAGACGCAAAAGUAAUUCCAAAGGUCACAGCCCCAGCCGCACCAGCUCACAAGGACUCCUCCUCCAAUAAGGACUCGAAAUCCAAACAUGGAACUAAAAAUGGGGGCACGGGCAGUGGUGAGGAGAACAAGGACAAGGACAAGAAGGACAAGAAUUCCAAGAAGGGGGGCGGUGACUCGAAGGGGGGGUCGAAAGAUGGUGGGGGCAAGAAGUCAU